AGAGUUUGAUCCUGGCUCAGGAUGAACGCUGGCGGCGUGCUUAACACAUGCAAGUCGAACGAUCCUUCGGGAUAGUGGCGGACGGGUGAGUAACGCGUGGGAAUCUGCCCUCAGGAGGGGGAUAACGGCUGGAAACGGCCGCUAAUACCCCAUAUGCCGAGAGGUGAAAUGAAUUUCGCCUGAGGACGAGCCCGCGUCUGAUUAGCUAGUUGGUGGGGUAAAGGCCUACCAAGGCAACGAUCAGUAGCUGGUCUGAGAGGAUGAUCAGCCACACUGGGACUGAGACACGGCCCAGACUCCUACGGGAGGCAGCAGUGGGGAAUUUUCCGCAAUGGGCGAAAGCCUGACGGAGCAACGCCGCGUGAGGGAUGAAGGCCUCUGGGCUGUAAACCUCUUUUCUCAAGGAAGAAGACCUGACGGUACUUGAGGAAUAAGCCACGGCUAAUUCCGUGCCAGCAGCCGCGGUAAUACGGGAGUGGCAAGCGUUAUCCGGAAUUAUUGGGCGUAAAGCGUCCGCAGGCGGCCUUGUAAGUCUGUUGUUAAAGCGUGGAGCUCAACUCCAUUUAAGCAAUGGAAACUACAAGGCUGGAGUGUGGUAGGGGCAGAGGGAAUUCCCGGUGUAGCGGUGAAAUGCGUAGAUAUCGGGAAGAACACCAGUGGCGAAGGCGCUCUGCUGGGCCAUAACUGACGCUCAUGGACGAAAGCCAGGGGAGCGAAAGGGAUUAGAUACCCCUGUAGUCCUGGCCGUAAACGAUGAACACUAGGUGUCGGGGGAAUCGACCCCCUUGGUGUCGUAGCCAACGCGUUAAGUGUUCCGCCUGGGGAGUACGCACGCAAGUGUGAAACUCAAAGGAAUUGACGGGGGCCCGCACAAGCGGUGGAGUAUGUGGUUUAAUUCGAUGCAACGCGAAGAACCUUACCUGGGUUUGACAUCCUGCGAACCCCUGAGAAAUCGGGGGGUGCCUUCGGGAGCGCAGAGACAGGUGGUGCAUGGCUGUCGUCAGCUCGUGUCGUGAGAUGUUGGGUUAAGUCCCGCAACGAGCGCAACCCACGUCUUUAGUUGCCAGCAUUCAGUUGGGCACUCUAGAGAGACCGCCGGUGAUAAACCGGAGGAAGGUGUGGAUGACGUCAAGUCAUCAUGCCCCUUACAUCCUGGGCUACACACGUACUACAAUGCUACGGACAAAGGGCAGCAAGCUCGCGAGAGUUAGCAAAUCCCAUAAACCGUGGCUCGGUUCAGAUCGUAGGCUGCAACUCGCCUACGUGAAGGAGGAAUCGCUAGUAAUCGCAGGUCAGCAUACUGCGGUGAAUACGUUCCCGGGCCUUGUACACACCGCCCGUCACACCAUGGAAGUUGGCCAUGCCCGAAGUCGUUACUCCAACCCUUGUGGAGGAGGACGCCGAAGGUGGGGCUGAUGACUGGGGUGAAGUCGUAACAAGGUA
rnacentral:rRNA from 1 species